GCAAACUUGGUCAUUUAGAGGAAGUAAAAGUCGUAACAAGGUUUCCGUAGGUGAACCUGCGGAAGGAUCAUUAACGAUUUCGUAGCUGGGCUUCGGCCCUGUCUGCACCCUUGUCUUUUGCGUACCCAUUGUUUCCUCGGCGGGCUUGCCUGCCGAUAGGACAUUGUAAAACCACUUGUAAUUGCAAUCAGCGUCAGUAAAACAAACAAUAUUAAAACUUUCAACAACGGAUCUCUUGGUUCUGGCAUCGAUGAAGAACGCAGC
rnacentral:misc_RNA from 1 species